rnacentral:lncRNA from 1 species
AUGGGCCUUUCUCCCCCCACACAAACCCCAGGCCAGAAGGUCCUCGCCUGCUGCCCACGAGACCCCCACCCCCACCCCGAGUGCAGCACAGCACAGCACACGGGAGCUGGAACCGCAGAGCCCUGCGUCCUCUCCACCCUGGGGGGUUCCAGCAGCUCUUGCCACGCAAGCGGAACAGAUGGGCGACUGAGACGCUGCGAUGCUGGCCUCGCUCUGGUCACCGCUUUGAACCGCACUGUGCCGAGGGCCUGCCGCUCACCUUUGUCAGGUGGCCAGAAGUCAUACGUGAAACCUGGAAGUCGCAGCUGUGCUGUGCCAGGCUGGAUCUUGCUCUGUCUUCUGGAAUCUUCCGCAGGAGCCACCACUGCUAGUUUGGAUGCUAGUGACUGGGGCUCUGAUACUGGGUUUGCUGGAUGGGAGGGAGUGAGUGGGGAGCUGUGGCCUGGCCAGUCCCUGCCCUGCACCCUCCCAGGCGUGCUGGCUGGCAGGGCCCCUAGAGCAUUCCAAGACAGGGAGGGAGAGGCUGAGUACAUGGCAGAGCAGUGGGGUGGGGGUGGAGUGGCCUGUGGUCUGUGGGCUGCAGGCGAUGCGCUCCUGGGGUGGGCAGCUCGUCCCCCACCUCGCAGGUGCCCCUGGAUGCCAGGUAGCAGAAUGGGAGGCAGCCGGGGGAGGGGGGGCUCUGUGGGAGCCCAGCAGGCACCGUGGGGCCAGAGCACUGCUGGCAGAUGGCACAAUCCGGGGCUCUGUCUCCCCGGCCCCUUUCACUGCCCACCUACCUCUGGGGUCCUCCCUGGCUUCCGCUGGACCCAGCUCCCAGAACCCUGUCUCCCGAUCCCCGGCCGACCUCUGCCCUGUGCGGUGGGGCGGGCACUGUGGAGUAGUGCCAGCCUGCCGCCUCGGUGCAGUGACCCCAGCCGGGCCCGUGAAGAUGCACUCCGGCCGGUCACGGCGGCCGAGCUCUCUUCCUCCUGCGAGCUUCCUCAACGCUGGCUAGCGUGUGGGGAACCUGACGUCCCCCUGCCCAUAACCCGCAAACCCUAUAAAGGCUGGAAGAUGAACCCUGGCCAGCCCCGGCCAAAGCCAGGUAGGUAG